UCUAUGGGCCUGUAGCUCUCGGCCAGGCGGCGUUGCGAUCAGCGGACGACAGCGCCGCAUGUGGAAGCAAAUCGAAACAAUGGUCCGCACAAGAGUGUUUCGGUUUCGCGGGUUUCGCUCUGGCGCAAGCAAGCAAUGUAUCGCAUCCUGCGUGGGUUUGAAAAGCUGGAGGUCAUUGACGAUUGGGCAAGUUACUAGUCAAUGUUUUCGGCGUCGACGAAGCAUCGGACGGUAACGAAAUCGUCGUUAAUGCAUUUCGGAAGAAGUGAAGGACAGCGUGGUUUAUAGCGUCCGGUUCGAGGUGUCCAAGUGCUCGUGACAGUUUAUGUUGCGUCGUGUACCUGUAAAGCGGGAAUUGCGGGAAAAUGUAAGCACGCGGCAGCAGUCUGCUGCUACCUGAACAAGGAAGAAGACGCCACAUGUACGGGCAACAACAAAAGAGGGGCAAGCCAAGCUCAAAGCCGCAGGCGUGACAUGACAAAGGGUAUCGCCGACUUAUUUCCGAAGCUGAUGAGGCUACAGUCAUCUCUGCUGCAUCGUUGAUCAUUUGCCAAUGAUCUUUCUCUACUGAAUGCUGCUGCUGUACCCUGCUGCAUCGUUGAUCGUUGGCUAUUCUGUUAUUCUUCAGCAUUUUAUAUGUUUCAUCAACCAGUAUCGUACCGUGUACCUAGUACGUUGCCUCAAAACAAUGCUUUAUUGCUCUUGGUAAUAAACAGCUUGCAUCUGAUAUAUUUCUC